GGGAGUGGUCGGCGCCUUUCCCGCGGGGUGGGCAGCGGCGGGGCUGAGCUCUGCACCCUCACUGAGGCGGCGAGCCUGGCGGCGGUGAGCUCUUUCCAGCGCUCCGAGGAGACGGCGCGACGCUUCGCCUUCACGGCCCUUCGAGUGAUGGCGGUGACGGUCGCUCCCGCUCGGCCGCGAUGGCGGAGCGCGCCCGGCCGGCCCCGGAAGUGAAGCGGUGACGGAGGGUCCCUCUGGCGGAGCUCGGCGGAACCGCUGGGGCCGGGAAGGCGCUGAGGCGUCAGCAGAAAAAUUCUGUCCGUCUGGGUGUAGCUGUUCUUGGCACAGGAAGUUCUUGGCACAUCACUCAUCUAACUACUAUGAGCAAAAGGAUUACUUUGUUCUCUGCAUAAAUGUGAUCUCCUACAGGGAAAAGUUUGUCACGAGUGGAGAAAAUAAGCAGCAGAAUUUCCUGUUGGGAGCUGCUCUGUCAUGAGCUGCUUUGUCAUC